CCACUGCGCCCAUCACUUGAUCUCUUUUAAAGGGAGGACUGUGCUCUGGACUCACCCUCACCCUUGCACUUUUGGAAGCGUUCCUGGACAUUAGACCCAUCCUCUGAAAGGAACUUGGCCUGUUCCUUCUCCUCAGUUUCUGUACACGUCCUUACUGUGCAGAAUGCACACUGGAGGGCACUCAGGGCUGGGUGGGGUUAAACAGACAAACUGUCCUUGAGAAACGUGAGGUCUGCUUAGGAAGGCUGCAGGAAGGCACAGAGGGGAGCCCUGGAAGGGAGGGACCUAGUGCUCAGGGAGGGCUGAUUUUCAGCAGAUGCUCAAUUUGGAAAACCUUUGAGGGAAAGAUAAUUUGCCCAGAAUUGCAAAUCCUUUUCUUCAUGUUUAGCAUUAAAGAAUAACAGCCCACGUUUUCUCUGAAAGCUUUAAAAUUUCUGAAUCAUUAGAGUCCAGUCAAUGUGGUUUUAAUACAUGUAGCAACAGAAUGAAGGAACAUCCAUCCUGGGUUUGAUCAAAUUACAACGGCCUUAAAUUACCUUAGAAACAUAGUUACUUUAUUCUAUUUGUGUCUACAUUAAAUGUCUCAUUAAUUCCUCA
rnacentral:sRNA from 1 species